rnacentral:rRNA from 1 species
UGGACGACGCUGGCGGCGUGCCUAACACAUGCAAGUCGAGCGGAGAUGUACUGAAGAUUUAUCGGAUGUACAUCUUAGCGGCGGACGGGUGAGUAACGCGUGGGCAACCUGCCUUUCACUGGGGGAUAACACAGGGAAACCUGUGCUAAUACCGCAUGACAUCACGUAGGGCAUCCUAUGUGAUCAAAGGAGAGAUCCGGUGGAAGAUGGGCCCGCGUCCAAUUAGCUGGUUGGUGAGGUAAAGGCUCACCAAGGCGACGAUUGGUAGCCGAACUGAGAGGUUGAUCGGCCACAUUGGGACUGAGACACGGCCCAGACUCCUACGGGAGGCAGCAGUGGGGAAUAUUGCGCAAUGGGGGGAACCCUGACGCAGCAACGCCGCGUGAAGGAAGAAGGUCUUCGGAUUGUAAACUUCUUUGAUGAGGGACGAAUAAAGUGACGGUACCUCAAAAACAAGCCACGGCUAACUACGUG